rnacentral:rRNA from 1 species
UAGGAUAGGUGGGAGGCUUUGAAGUGUGGACGCCAGUCUGCAUGGAGCCGACCUUGAAAUACCACCCUUUAAUGUUUGAUGUUCUAACGUUGGCCCCUAAUCGGGGUUGCGGACAGUGUCUGGUGGGUAGUUUGACUGGGGCGGUCUCCUCCUAAAGAGUAACGGAGGAGCACGAAGGUUGGCUAAUCCUGGUCGGACAUCAGGAGGUUAGUGCAAUGGCAUAAGCCAGCUUGACUGCGAGCGUGACGGCGCGAGCAGGUGCGAAAGCAGGUCAUAGUGAUCCGGUGGUUCUGAAUGGAAGGGCCAUCGCUCAACGGAUAAAAGGUACUCCGGGGAUAACAGGCUGAUACCGCCCAAGAGUUCAUAUCGACGGCGGUGUUUGGCACCUCGAUGUCGGCUCAUCACAUCCUGGGGCUGAAGUAGGUCCCAAGGGUAUGGCUGUUCGCCAUUUAAAGUGGUACGCGAGCUGGGUUUAGAACGUCGUGAGACAGUUCGGUCCCUAUCUGCCGUGGGCGCUGGAGAACUGAGGGGGGCUGCUCCUAGUACGAGAGGACCGGAGUGGACGCAUCACUGGUGUUCGGGUUGUCAUGCCAAUGGCACUGCCCGGUAGCUAAAUGCGGAAGAGAUAAGUGCUGAAAGCAUCUAAGCACGAAACUUGCCCCG